CAGCACUACCCUUACAAUACCUUAUAUAUUGUUUUUAUUAUUUUAUGUAUUUCAGCAGUCAUGUAUCAUUGGUUAGUACACCUGACAGGACAAGCAGUCACAGUACUAUAAAGACAGAUGGUUUGUCAGUCUAAAUUAUUCCUUUCAUUCAUGACAGUUUCAUUUUUGUCACAGAAGACCCUAUCAAAAUGAGCUUUUUACACUAUUAUCA